UCUCCGGAUCAAAGGUGUGAUUCCGCCCUAGGAGAAGCCUGCGGUCUAUCAGCUAGUUGGUAAGGUAACGGCUUACCAAGGCAAAAACGGAUAUGGGGCGUGAGAGCGUGCCCCCACUCACUGGGACUGAGACACUGCCCAGACACCUACGGGUGGCUGCAGUCGAGAAUCUUCGGCAAUGGGCGCAAGCCUGACCGAGCGACGCCGCGUGCGGGAUGAAGGCCUUCGGGUUGUAAACCGCUGUCGAAGGGGAGGAAAUUGUAGUGGGUUCACCCAUUAUAUUGACCGAUCCUUGGAGGAAGGGCCGGCUAAUCUCGUGCCAGCAGCCGCGGUAAUACGAGAGGCCCAAACGUUAUUCGGAUUUACUGGGCUUAAAGAGUUUGUAGGCGGUUCGGUAAGUGAGAUGUGAAAGCCCUCGGCUCAACCGAGGAAUUGCGUUUCAAACUGCCGGGCUCGAGGGAGAUAGAGGUGAGC
rnacentral:rRNA from 1 species